AUUGAACGCUGGCGGCGUGCCUAAUACAUGCAAGUCGAGCGAAGCGGGGACGGGUGCGUAAAACGUGGAUAACCUCCUAUAAGACUGGGAUAACUUCCGGAAACCGGUGCUAAACCGGCUACUUAUCGAUGGAUGCGCGCUGCAUUAGCUAGUUGGUUAGGUAACGGCUUACCAAGGCAACGAUGCAUAGCCGACCUGAGAGGGUGAUCGGCCACACUGGAACUGAGACACGGUCCAGACUCCUACGGGAGGCAGCAGUAGGGAAUCUUCCGCAAUGGGGGAAAGCCUGACGGAGCAAUGCCGCGUGAGUGAUGAAGGUCUUCGGGUCGUAAAACUCUGUUAUUAGGGAAGCGGUACCUAAUCAGAAAGCAACGGCUAACUACGUGCCAGCAGCCGCGGUAAUUC
rnacentral:rRNA from 1 species